AUGUCUGGAGUGCAUCUCUCUGGUCAUCCCUCAGGCAGUACAUUGUGUCAGGCAAUGCGGUGUACCGAGGGCACGUGCAGAGCUUCCUCAAAAGGAAGAGGCUGGUCCAUCACUGGAUUUUCCUGGAGCAGAACUCCUAGGUUCACACGGGUGCUGCCUGACAACCUCUACCCUCUGCUGGAGUUUGACACCAAGAUCUCCCAAGGUAAAGUAGAGCCUCGGUUCUCCAGAAUGUACCCAGAAACCUCUGUUAUCAUUAUAUAUCCACCCUAUCAGCUACAGAAACGUCUGUUCUCCAGUAUGUACCCACCCUAUCAGCUACAGAAACCUCUGUUCUCCAGUAUGUACCCACCCUAUCAGCUACAGAAACCUCUAUUAUCCAGGAUGUACCCACCCUAUCAGCUACAGAAACCUCUGUUCUCCAGUAUAUACCCACCCUAUCAGCUACAGAAACCUCUGUUCUCCAGUAUAUACCCACCCUAUCAGCUACAAAAACCUCUGUUCUCCAGUAUAUACCCACCCUAUCAGCUACAGAAACCUCUGUUCUCCAGUAUAUACCCACCCUAUCAGCUACAGAAACCUCUGUUCUCCAGUAUAUACCCACCCUAUCAGCUACAGAAACCUCUGUUCUCCAGUAUAUACCCACCCUAUCAGCUACAGAAACCUCUGUUCUCCAGUAUGUACCCACCCUAUCAGCUACAGAAACCUCUAUUCUCCAGGAUUUACCCACCCUAUCAGCUACAGAAACCUCUGUUCUUCAGUAUGUACCCACCCUAUCAGCUACAGAAACCUCUGUUCUCCAGUAUAUACCCACCCUAUCAGCUACAGAAACCUCUGUUCUCCAGUAUGUACCCACCCUAUCAGCUACAGAAACCUCUGUUCUCCAGUAUAUACCCACCCUAUCAGCUACAGAAACCUCUGUUCUCCAGUAUAUACCCACCCUAUCAGCUACAGAAACCUCUGUUCUCCAGUAUAUACCCACCCUAUCAGCUACAGAAACCUAUGUUCUCCAGUAUAUACCCACCCUAUCAGCUACAGAAACCUCUGUUCUCCAGUAUAUACCCACCCUAUCAGCUACAGAAACCUCCGUUCUCCAGUAUAUACCCACCCUAUCAGCUACAGAAACCUCUGUUCUCCAGUAUGUACCCACCCUAUCAGCUACAGAAACCUCUGUUCUCCAGUAUGUACCCACCCUAUCAGCUACAGAAACCUCUGUUCUCCAGUAUGUACCCACCCUAUCAGCUACAGGUUGUCUUAAGAUUUCCUUCUAUUGAUUUCUUUCAUGUUGUCCUUUCUCAUUUAGGUUCUUAA
rnacentral:lncRNA from 1 species